rnacentral:rRNA from 1 species
AGGACGAACGCUGGCGGCGUGCUUAACACAUGCAAGUCAAGGGGGCCCAGCAAUGGGCAACCGGCGAACGGGUGCGUAACACGUGAGCAACCUACCGAGAUGUGGGGGAUAGCCGGCCUAACGGCCGAGUAAUACCGCAUACGCUCUCGAUGAGGCAUUUCAUUGAGAGGAAACCUACGGGACAUUUCGAGGGGCUCGCGGCCUAUCAGCUAGUUGGCGAGGUAACGGCUCACCAAGGCAACGACGGGUAGC